rfam:Mycobacterium avium 104, complete genome.
UGGGUGGACCCCGCGCGGCGUCUAUCCUGUGAACUCCCCCAGGGCCGGAAGGCAGCAAGGGUCAACGGGCUCUGUCGGGUGCGCGGGGUCCCCUACCUUCGAU